rnacentral:lncRNA from 1 species
AAGUUGAUAGCAAGUUCAUCAAACCAACUUCCAUUGAAAUCUGAAGCUACCUACCACUCAAAACCUAAAGAAGUGGUAACUCCUUUUCAUUUCCUAUUCACUCAUGCCUUUGUUUACUUGUCUAGCUCGGUCAAAAAAAUGAGCAUGUCCCUGUGGCAUAAUUGAAUUGCUUAUAUUGAAUUAAAAAGAUAUCCUUAGAAUCCUACAGCAAGAUAUAGCAAGGUAAAGAUUACUAUUUACAGACAAUUUACAUAUUAGCAAAAUGCGAUGCACCGAUUUGAAGGUCAACCAAGGUAUGUAGUUGUCAGCUUCGCUUGUUGUGGUCUUCGGCAAACAUACUGAGACCUGUUACAUGACACAUACAGGGUAGGAACUUAUUGUCCAUAAGAAUGUAUGAAGCAAAAGAAAUACAGAAAUGUCAUGUGAUGAGAGAAGUAUCAAGAAGCAGUGUAGCUAAGUUAUGUAUUUCAACUAUAAAAAAAAGGGUAACCCGGUGCACUAAGCUCCCGCUAUGCGCUGGGUCCGGGGAAGGAUUCAACAGAAAAUAGCUAUUCAAUACCAACUUUCAAGCAGCAUCCUUUUCCAUUUUAUCAUGCUAAUUGUAUAAAUCAGGUCCAAAAUAGUUGAAAGGUAUAAAUAGAAUGCAAAAUUUCAGCAGCACUUCAUACUCUCUACCUGCAUCUAGAUGUCAUAAGCUUCGCUUUUCAAAUAGUUGCGUUGAUGAUUCAGAAAAUGUAGCCAAUUGAAAUUUAGUGCAGAAUUUAGCACUUUCUUGUUUUCAAUACUUUGUUGUUCGUUUGGUUACCGUAAAAAUAUACUCUAAAGUUCUGCUAAUUUGCAAAGGCAAAGUUAGAAUUCAAAGAAAAGGUUAGCCAAUCCAACAGCUAGGGACAUGUCAUUCAACAACAAAAAAACCAGUGUAAUCCCACAAGUCACAAGUAGCGUCUGGAAGGACAUGUCAUUCAAAAAGAAAGAAAUCAGUAAAUAUGGGUGAAAAUGCCAGAUAAAUGCACAAGCAUCAACCCAAAAAUGGAAAUGAAAUCAAUACUAUUUACAUGGUUCACAUUGUAUCUUGUGAAAGAAAGGCACACAGAAAUGACCUUGGACAGUAUUUUAAUAUUAUUUCGACCUAGAUCACAGUAAAAUGGUGUGAACUUUACAUGUCAACAUAAUUAAUCAGUGGAAUGUCUUAAGGGGAAUUUCAAAGUCUUCUUCAAUAUUCUCUCAAAAUAGACCUUGUUAAUAUAAGUUGUGGAAAGCUAGGAGAUAAGAAGUGUGUAUAAUAGCAUAUAUGAGAAAAGAGGCAUGUAGAGGCAAUUUAAAGUUACCUUAAAUAGGUGACAAUCCAUUGCAGAUUAACUUCACAGCAAAUCCACUCCAUCUAAUCCAAGAAAUAUUGAUAAAGAACCACGAAGAUUUCAAAUGAGAAA